rnacentral:lncRNA from 1 species
GAAAAGUUCUCACCACUCUUUAKUGCAACAACCAGAAAUACUCCAUUUGGGAACUGCAGAAGAAGGUCUGACUGGUGUUCAUGAGUGAGCUGUGUUUCAUUUCCACGUCAGGUUAAAUGAGAGGGUGUGUGGCAGAGCAGAGGGACUGAGAUGGAGAGCACUGACAGGCAUCUUCUGUACAAGCUGCUCAAACUUCUCCAAGGCAAUCUCCUGGCCAAUAGUAACAAGCACGGCUGUGGCACCUGCUUCCCUCUUACUCAGACUUCAACUGUUCCCUCUGCUCAAACUUGUGGCUGUCGUGUSCUUGGGAGCAGUGCCCACCGCAGGGGCGAAGUCAGGAACUGGAAGGUGUUUCAGGUAAGCAUCCGCUAAUGAUGCUAUUAGCUCUURUCCUGCCGUAACUCAUGGUUAUGGUCUUUGUUUGUAAAACAUGAGACAAAGACCAGGAUGAAAGAGACAUCAAAGCGUAACAGAAGGGAAAAGUGUGGAUUGAUGCCUUUACUAGGUAGCUCACCAAACACACUGAAGUCCUCCAGACAGAUGACAUUGAGGAGGGAAGGAUAAUGRGAGGAAAAAUGAGAAGCAAGAGGUGAGGAUUAUCACAUCCUCUGGAAUCASUGUAGCCACGAGACUUUGCAACCAGUGUGCUCAGCCUUGCACGUGGGCCUUCCAGAGCUGGUGAGAAGUUCUGAGUGGAGCCACAGGCUUGGCUGUCUUUCCAGCCUGCGGGGUCAACAGUCGGAGACUGCGGAAGGUGAGAGGCAGCAGAGGAGGAAACACAGUAGCGAUAGUGUCUGGAUCAGCAUCACAAAAGAGGAGGGACCAGAUGAGGACACCAGUGGUCUGAAAUCAAGCCAGCCUGGGACGCCCUGAUGGCGCUUGGGCAGGUAACAAGGUCCUUGUUAUUUCCAAGGGAGCAAAACCAUGAAGCAUCCUGGGACUGGUCAGGGACGGGAGAAUACAUGUAGCACUGCGAUGGGGAUGGUUGUUUGCAACCCAUGAGGGCAAGACAUGGCUGUGGGCAUGGGAAAGGUGCCAGUCACCCUUUUGGGUGCCAGAUAAAAAGGAUGCUGGAGGGGAGUCUUUCUGCAGCAGGUCAGCAACCAGAACGAUGUAUCUAGACCUGCAUGUUAGAAACACAAGGCCAGUUGUGGCAGUCCAGCAUGGAGAAGAUCAUGAUCCACUUGUAGGGCAGUGAUCGCUUUGUGCUGUCCCUUCUCUGUGUGCRCUUGGGACUCUUUGGAGUCGAGCUGGAGCUGCUCAUUGCCGGACGCAGGCUGAUCUUCUAGCUGCCAGCAAAGCCRCACACGUGGUGAGACAUCUGAGCACCUGAGCCGCCGCCAGCCCAGCCGUUCUGCAGGAGACACUGGCC